rnacentral:rRNA from 1 species
GAACGGCAGCACAGAGGAGCUUGCUCCUUGGGUGGCGAGUGGCGGACGGGUGAGGAAUACAUCGGAAUCUACUCUGUCGUGGGGGAUAACGUAGGGAAACUUACGCUAAUACCGCAUACGACCUACGGGUGAAAGCAGGGGAUCUUCGGACCUUGCGCGAUUGAAUGAGCCGAUGUCGGAUUAGCUAGUUGGCGGGGUAAAGGCCCACCAAGGCGACGAUCCGUAGCUGGUCUGAGAGGAUGAUCAGCCACACUGGAACUGAGACACGGUCCAGACUCCUACGGGAGGCAGCAGUGGGGAAUAUUGGACAAUGGGCGCAAGCUUGAUCCAGCCAUACCGCGUGGGUGAAGAAGGCCUUCGGGUUGUAAAGCCCUUUUGUUGGGAAAGAAAUCCAGCUGGCUAAUACCCGGUUGGGAUGACGGUACCCAAAGAAUAAGCACCGGCUAACUUCGUGCCAGC